GUGGGGAAUCUUGCGCAAUGGGCGAAAGCCUGACGCAGCCAUGCCGCGUGAAUGAUGAAGGUCUUAGGAUUGUAAAAUUCUUUCACCGGGGACGAUAAUGACGGUACCCGGAGAAGAAGCUCCGGCUAACUUCGUGCCAGCAGCCGCGGUAAUACGAAGGGUGCAAGCGUUAUCCGGAAUCACUGGGUUUAAAGGGUACGUAGGCGGUUAAUUAAGUCAGUAGUGAAAGACUGUCGCUCAACGACGGAUGUGCUAUUGAUACUGGUUAACUUGAAUCAGGUUAGAGUUGGUGGAAUGGGUCAUGUAGCGGUGAAAUGCUUAGAUAUGACUUGGAACACCGAUAGCGAAGGCAGCUGACUGAGCCUUGAUUGACGCUGAGGUACGAAAGUGUGGGUAGCGAACAGGAUUAGAAACCCCUGUAGUCC
rnacentral:rRNA from 1 species